rnacentral:rRNA from 19 species
AUUCUGGUGUCCUAGGCGUAGAGGAACAACACCAAUCCAUCCCGAACUUGGUGGUUAAACUCUACUGCGGUGACGAUACUGUAGGAGAGGUCCUGCGGCAAAAUAGCUCGACGCCAGGAUGAUAAAAAGCUUAACACCUC